UUUCCGUAGGUGAACCUGCGGAAGGAUCAUUAAAGAAUUUGCCCCGUCCUCUCGAGGAUGGGUCCUCUUCUAAACCGUGUAUACAUACCCUUGUUGCUUUGGCGGGCCGCCGUCUCGGCGUUGGCUUCGGCUGACUGUGCCCGCCAGAGAACCCCAACUCUUCUGUUUAGUAUUGUCUGAGUACUAUAUAAUAGUUAAAACUUUCAACAACGGAUCUCUUGGUUCUG
rnacentral:misc_RNA from 1 species